rnacentral:rRNA from 1 species
AGCGCAUACGGUGGAUGCCUUGGCAGUCAGAGGCGAUGAAAGACGUGGUAGCCUGCGAAAAGCUUCGGGGAGUCGGCAAACAGACUUUGAUCCGGAGAUCUCUGAAUGGGGGAACCCACCUAGGAUAACCUAGGUAUCUUGUACUGAAUCCAUAGGUGCAAGAGGCGAACCAGGGGAACUGAAACAUCUAAGUACCCUGAGGAAAAGAAAUCAACCGAGAUUCCCUUAGUAGUGGCGAGCGAACGGGGAUUAGCCCUUAAGCUUCAUUGAUUUUAGCGGAACGCUCUGGAAAGUGCGGCCAUAGUGGGUGAUAGCCCCGUACGCGAAAGGAUCUUUGAAGUGAAAUCGAGUAGGACGGAGCACGAGAAACUUUGUCUGAACAUGGGGGGACCAUCCUCCAAGGCUAAAUACUACUGACUGACCGAUAGUGAACCAGUACCGUGAGGGAAAGGCGAAAAGAACCCCGGAGAGGGGAGUGAAAUAGAACCUGAAACCGUAUGCGUACAAGCAGUGGGAGCCUACUUGUUAGGUGACUGCGUACCUUUUGUAUAAUGGGUCAGCGACUUAUAUUCAGUGGCAAGCUUAACCGUAUAGGGUAGGCGUAGCGAAAGCGAGUCUUAAUAGGGCGUUUAGUCGCUGGGUAUAGACCCGAAACCGGGCGAUCUAUCCAUGAGCAGGUUGAAGGUUAGGUAACACUGACUGGAGGACCGAACCCACUCCCGUUGAAAAGGUAGGGGAUGACUUGUGGAUCGGAGUGAAAGGCUAAUCAAGCUCGGAGAUAGCUGGUUCUCCUCGAAAGCUAUUUAGGUAGCGCCUCAUGUAUCACUCUGGGGGGUAGAGCACUGUUUCGGCUAGGGGGUCAUCCCGACUUACCAAACCGAUGCAAACUCCGAAUACCCAGAAGUGCCGAGCAUGGGAGACACACGGCGGGUGCUAACGUCCGUCGUGAAAAGGGAAACAACCCAGACCGCCAGCUAAGGUCCCAAAGUUGUGGUUAAGUGGUAAACGAUGUGGGAAGGCUUAGACAGCUAGGAGGUUGGCUUAGAAGCAGCCAUCCUUUAAAGAAAGCGUAAUAGCUCACUAGUCGAGUCGGCCUGCGCGGAAGAUGUAACGGGGCUCAAACCACACACCGAAGCUGCGGGUGUCACGUAAGUGACGCGGUAGAGGAGCGUUCUGUAAGCCUGUGAAGGUGAGUUGAGAAGCUUGCUGGAGGUAUCAGAAGUGCGAAUGCUGACAUGAGUAACGACAAUGGGUGUGAAAAACACCCACGCCGAAAGACCAAGGGUUCCUGCGCAACGUUAAUCGACGCAGGGUUAGUCGGUUCCUAAGGCGAGGCUGAAAAGCGUAGUCGAUGGGAAACAGGUUAAUAUUCCUGUACUUCUGGUUACUGCGAUGGAGGGACGGAGAAGGCUAGGCCAGCUUGGCGUUGGUUGUCCAAGUUUAAGGUGGUAGGCUGAAAUCUUAGGUAAAUCCGGGGUUUCAAGGCCGAGAGCUGAUGACGAGUCGUCUUUUAGAUGACGAAGUGGUUGAUGCCAUGCUUCCAAGAAAAGCUUCUAAGCUUCAGGUAACCAGGAACCGUACCCCAAACCGACACAGGUGGUCGGGUAGAGAAUACCAAGGCGCUUGAGAGAACUCGGGUGAAGGAACUAGGCAAAAUGGCACCGUAACUUCGGGAGAAGGUGCGCCGGCUAGGGUGAAGGAUUUACUCCGUAAGCUCUGGCUGGUCGAAGAUACCAGGCCGCUGCGACUGUUUAUUAAAAACACAGCACUCUGCAAACACGAAAGUGGACGUAUAGGGUGUGACGCCUGCCCGGUGCCGGAAGGUUAAUUGAUGGGGUUAGCGCAAGCGAAGCUCUUGAUCGAAGCCCCGGUAAACGGCGGCCGUAACUAUAACGGUCCUAAGGUAGCGAAAUUCCUUGUCGGGUAAGUUCCGACCUGCACGAAUGGCGUAACGAUGGCGGCGCUGUCUCCACCCGAGACUCAGUGAAAUUGAAAUCGCUGUGAAGAUGCAGUGUAUCCGCGGCUAGACGGAGAGACCCCGUGAACCUUUACUGUAGCUUUGCACUGGACUUUGAGCCUGCUUGUGUAGGAUAGGUGGGAGGCUUUGAAGCGUGGACGCCAGUUCGCGUGGAGCCAUCCUUGAAAUACCACCCUGGCAUGCUUGAGGUUCUAACUCUGGUCCGUGAUCCGGAUCGAGGACAGUGUAUGGUGGGCAGUUUGACUGGGGCGGUCUCCUCCUAAAGAGUAACGGAGGAGUACGAAGGUGCGCUCAGACCGGUCGGAAAUCGGUCGCAGAGUAUAAAGGCAAAAGCGCGCUUGACUGCGAGACAGACACGUCGAGCAGGUACGAAAGUAGGUCUUAGUGAUCCGGUGGUUCUGUAUGGAAGGGCCAUCGCUCAACGGAUAAAAGGUACUCCGGGGAUAACAGGCUGAUACCGCCCAAGAGUUCAUAUCGACGGCGGUGUUUGGCACCUCGAUGUCGGCUCAUCACAUCCUGGGGCUGAAGCCGGUCCCAAGGGUAUGGCUGUUCGCCAUUUAAAGUGGUACGCGAGCUGGGUUUAGAACGUCGUGAGACAGUUCGGUCCCUAUCUGCCGUGGACGUUUGAGAUUUGAGAGGGGCUGCUCCUAGUACGAGAGGACCGGAGUGGACGAACCUCUGGUGUUCCGGUUGUCACGCCAGUGGCAUUGCCGGGUAGCUAUGUUCGGAAAAGAUAACCGCUGAAAGCAUCUAAGCGGGAAACUUGCCUCAAGAUGAGAUCUCACUGGGAACUUGAUUCCCCUGAAGGGCCGUCGAAGACUACGACGUUGAUAGGCUGGGUGUGUAAGCGUUGU